rnacentral:rRNA from 1 species
GUCCUUUAGAAAUUAAUUUAAGGUCUAACCUGCCCACUGAAAUUAUUUGAAGGGCCGCAGUAAUUUGACUGUGCAAAGGUAGCAUAAUCAAUAGUUUUUUAAUUAAAAGCUUGAAUGAAAGGUUGGACGAGGUAAAUUCUGUCUCUAUAUAAUUUAUUGUAGAAUUUAAUUUUUAAGUUAAAAAGCUUAAAUUUUAUUAAAAGACGAGAAGACCCUAUAGAUCUUUAUAUUUAAAAUAUUAAUUUUAAUUAAGAUUAAUUUAUUAAUUAAUAUUUGAAUUAUUUUAUUGGGGUAAUAAAAAGAUUUAUAAAAUUCUUUUUUUAUUUAAACAUUAAUAAAUGGUUAUUUGAUCCAAUUUUAUUGAUUAAAAGAUUAAGUUACCUUAGGGAUAACAGCGUAAUUUUUUUAGAGAGUUCAUAUCGAUAAAAAAGUUUGCGACCUCGAUGUUGGAUUAAAAAUUAUCUUAGGUGCAGAANUUUNAGAUUUUGGUCUG